AACGUAGGGGGCGAGCGUUGUCCGGAAUUACUGGGCGUAAAGAGCUCGUAGGCGGUAGUUCAAGUCAGGUGUGAAAUCCGACGGCUUAACCGGAGGACUGCACCUGAUACUGGGCUGCUAGAGGUAAGGAGAGGAAGGUGGAAUUCCAUGUGUAGCGGUGAAAUGCGUAGAUAUAUGGAGGAACACCGGUGGCGAAGGCGCCCCUCUGGACGGUAACUGACGCUGAGGCGCGAAAGCGUGGGGAGCAAACAGG
rnacentral:rRNA from 1 species